AGCACGCACACGGGAUUGCUUGGCACACAGGACGAGGAAGGACGUGAGAGAAGACGAAACGCAAGGUGUCUGAAUUGCACGGGAGUGCGGAGACCCCCUUGACUUAAGCAUAUCAGUAAGGGGAGGAGAAGAAACCAAAUGGGAUGUCCUGAGUAGCGGCGAGUGAAGUGGACGGAGGCUGUGUGGUAACUGCGGAAGCGGGUUGUGUGAUGCUGAACGGGCAGAAGGCGGUAGGAAUGCCGACGACGGAGAGGGGGAGAGCCCUGUAUGCGCGGGAGCGAGUGGCGAGGAGUAGGGCUGCUUGGGAGUGCAGUCUGAAAGCGGUGGUGGUUUCCAUCGAAGGCUAAAUAUGUGAAGUGUGACCGAUAGAGGAGAAGUAGGGAGACCGAAGGCAGAAGAGGCGAAGGAUGAAGAAUGAAAGUGUGCGUGAGUGGGGAGAAGCCCGCCCGUCUUGAAACACGGACCAAGGAGACGACGCGUGCAUUGUGUGGCGAGAGCUGAUGGAUGUAUGGGUCGGACCCGAAAGGCAGUGAGCUAUGUGUGUCUGGAUUGAAGGGUGGCGAAAGCCUGCUGGAGGAUCCUAGUUGUUCUGACGUGCAACUCGAUGAUGUGAGAUGUGCAUAGCGGCGAAAGACCAAUCGAACUGCCUGGUAGCUGGUUCCCCCUGAAAUGUCUCUAAGGACAGCGGCGACGGGAGUGUGCGAUGCAGUAAAGCGACCGGGUGUAAGGGAGACGAACUCUGAAUGUGUUGUUGAAGAGGGUUGCUAGUGGGCACACGGUGGUAAGCAUGGUGUGCGAGGAGGAAUGAACCUUGAUGAGCGAUAAGGGGCCUAAGUGGGCGUGGCGGAACUGUUUGCGCCGGUUGAGACAGUUGGACGGUGGCCAUGGAGGUAGGCAUCCGCUAAGAAACGUGUUACGACGUACCGACCGAACUGGCGGGAUGGGAAAAUGGAAGGGAUGGUAGCCUGAGCCGAUGCGGUUGCGCUUGUGGGUGAGUAAGGGGGCGGCAUGAUUUCUGAGAAGCGUGUGCGUGAGUGUGCGUGGAGGGGUGAUGUGAGCGGAUCUUGGUGGUAGUAGCAGGAAGAGAAUAGUGCGGAUGGACGAGGGUUUCUGCUGAAGCGGAGUGAAACGGCGGUUGAGACGGAGAUUGAUUGAGAGUUUGAUGUAUGUGUGCUGGGAGGUGACUUGGUGGUGACGGAUGGAAGGAGCUCUGGCGCAGGAGGACAGAACUGAGUGAUGGGCACGGUGUGGAGUGUUGAGCAGGGAAGCAGUGUGUGUGGAGUGUGGAAGUCCCGAUGAAAAAGCAGCAGGCAUGCCGUACCUAGACCGCAGCAGGUGUCCAUGGCGAGCAGCAAGAGCACGGUAGAGAACGGUUGUAAGGGAAGUCGGCAAGGAGGAUGUGUAACUUUGGGAGAAGGAUUGGCUCUAGCAUGCUAGAACUGAUGGAGAAGCGGGGAAUCUGACUGUUUAGUAAAAACAUAGCUUUCUGGAGACGGUAAGUGAAUUCUGCCCAGUGCAUUUGUAGUGAAUUGUGUGUAAGCGGAAGCGAGUGUAAACGGCGGGAGUAACUAUGACUCUCUUAAGGUAGCCAAAUGCCUCGUCAUCUAAUUAGUGACGCGCAUGAAUGGAGCAACGGGAUUCCCACUGUCCCUAUGACUGGCGCUGCGAACCCACGGCCAAGGGAACGGGCUUGGCGGAUACAGCGGGGAAAGAAGACCCUGUUGAGCUUGACUCUAGUAUGUGUGAAGCGACGGACGGCGCGACGAAGAGAGGUGGGGAGCGGGUGCAAGACCACUGUUGAGCUUGUGCGGCGGUUUGAGGGUGCAUAUGGGGAGUUUGGCUGGGGCGGCACGACUGCUAUAGACGAACGCAGACGUCCUAAGGUGGGAUCAGCGGGGAGGGAAACCACGCGUGGAGUACAAGGGCAGAAGCCUGCCUGAGGCUGUCCCUUGCGAGGGAUGGCUGGGGGAAACCCGGGCCUAGAGAUCCCGUGUCCUGUGGAGUGGUGGGACACGGGUGACGGAAAAGUUACCACAGGGAUAACUGGCUUGUAGCGGCCGAGCGACCAUAGCGACGCAGCUUUUUGAUUCUUCGAUGUCGGCUCUUCCUAUCAUCGUGAAGCAGGAAUUACGAAGUGUUGGAUUGUUCACCCACCAACAGGGAACGUGAGCUGGGUUUAGACCGUCGUGAGACAGGUUAGUUUUACCCUACUGUGUGGUAGUUGCAGCAGGGCGGGAUAGUACGAGAGGAACUCCUGGCCGCGACCUCUGGUGGAGCGGUCUGCCUGUAGGCGGCUGCGUGGCUACGUCGUGCGUAUAACGGCUGAAGGCCUCUAAGCCGGAAGACGGACUGUGACUAGU